rnacentral:rRNA from 1 species
AAGGGCAGCCAAGUCGUGAGGCGGAGCUAAUCCCUUAAAGCCAUUCUCAGUUCGGAUUGUAGGCUGAAACUCGCCUACAUGAAGCUGGAGUUACUAGUAAUCGCAGAUCAGAAUGCUGCGGUGAAUGCGUUCCCGGGUCUUGUACACACCGCCCGUCACACCACGGAAGUUGGGGGCGCCCGAAGCCACUUAGCUAACCCUUUUGGGAAGCGAGUGUCGAAGGUGAAAUCAAUAACUGGGGUGAAGUCGUAACAAGGUAAC